GAUGAGCGCUGGCGGCGUGCCUAAUACAUGCAAGUCGAGCGAACGGACGAGAAGCUUGCUUCUCUGAUGUUAGCGGCGGACGGGUGAGUAACACGUGGAUAACCUACCUAUAAGACUGGGAUAACUUCGGGAAACCGGAGCUAAUACCGGAUAAUAUUUUGAACCGCAUGGUUCAAAAGUGAAAGACGGUCUUGCUGUCACUUAUAGAUGGAUCCGCGCUGCAUUAGCUAGUUGGUAAGGUAACGGCUUACCAAGGCAACGAUGCAUAGCCGACCUGAGAGGGUGAUCGGCCACACUGGAACUGAGACACGGUCCAGACUCCUACGGGAGGCAGCAGUAGGGAAUCUUCCGCAAUGGGCGAAAGCCUGACGGAGCAACGCCGCGUGAGUGAUGAAGGUCUUCGGAUCGUAAAACUCUGUUAUUAGGGAAGAACAUAUGUGUAAGUAACUGUGCACAUCUUGACGGUACCUAAUCAGAAAGCCACGGCUAACUACGUGCCAGCAGCCGCGGUAAUACGUAGGUGGCAAGCGUUAUCCGGAAUUAUUGGGCGUAAAGCGCGCGUAGGCGGUUUUUUAAGUCUGAUGUGAAAGCCCACGGCUCAACCGUGGAGGGUCAUUGGAAACUGGAAAACUUGAGUGCAGAAGAGGAAAGUGGAAUUCCAUGUGUAGCGGUGAAAUGCGCAGAGAUAUGGAGGAACACCAGUGGCGAAGGCGACUUUCUGGUCUGUAACUGACGCUGAUGUGCGAAAGCGUGGGGAUCAAACAGGAUUAGAUACCCUGGUAGUCCACGCCGUAAACGAUGAGUGCUAAGUGUUAGGGGGUUUCCGCCCCUUAGUGCUGCAGCUAACGCAUUAAGCACUCCGCCUGGGGAGUACGACCGCAAGGUUGAAACUCAAAGGAAUUGACGGGGACCCGCACAAGCGGUGGAGCAUGUGGUUUAAUUCGAAGCAACGCGAAGAACCUUACCAAAUCUUGACAUCCUUUGACAACUCUAGAGAUGGAGCCUUCCCCUUCGGGGGACAAAGUGACAGGUGGUGCAUGGUUGUCGUCAGCUCGUGUCGUGAGAUGUUGGGUUAAGUCCCGCAACGAGCGCAACCCUUAAGCUUAGUUGCCAUCAUUAAGUUGGGCACUCUAAGUUGACUGCCGGUGACAAACCGGAGGAGGGUGGGGAUGACGUCAAAUCAUCAUGCCCCUUAUGAUUUGGGCUACACACGUGCUACAAUGGACAAUACAAAGGGCAGCGAAACCGCGAGGUCAAGCAAAUCCCAUAAAGUUGUUCUCAGUUCGGAUUGUAGUCUGCAACUCGACUACAUGAAGCUGGAAUCGCUAGUAAUCGUAGAUCAGCAUGCUACGGUGAAUACGUUCCCGGGUCU
rnacentral:rRNA from 1 species